CACGCGGCCGCGUCGCGGGGAGUCCACGCUGCUGGGAGAUGCAGCGUCGCCGACUACCACCGUGUGCCUCGCACUGGAAGCUGUAUCCGCCAGUUCGUCGGGUUCCUUGAUAUCGCUCCUGCUACAUGCCGUGGGACUGCUUGGGAGAUCGGGGUCGUCUUCCGCGACGGCAUAUCCCCGUGGUGCUGCCGUGCUGACGGCCUUGCCAAACCCUGUCUCAAAUCCGUCUUCUGCCCUUUUCAGCGGAUUUGGACAGGACAACGGCAGCAGGACAACCUCCACAGCCGCAAGGUCGCGGAGAGCUACACACUUUUCUCAUACUCGGUCUCGCGGACAUCACAGGAUCCUCACCGUGUGUUGUCGCCUUCCUCCAGUGAGUUGCCACCCACAUGAUGGCAUGUGACAUAAGGGCGGCCGAAGGAGGAUGAACUCCCUGUUCUUCGAUCAUCACGGGUGAAGGAGAUGUGAGGUAUGUGUCCAAUCACCAGGGACGCAUGCUGCACUUCUUGCUGAAACUUUUUUGUGCCAGGAUGAUACCUCACCUUUAUUCGGUUUGGACGACACAGAGCCUGUGCAUGGUGCUGAAACCUCAAAUUGACAAAUUGCUUUGAUAUCAGAAUAAUCAACUCAGCCUUCCAGGACGUUACUGCGUUCAGGCAUGUCACUAUGUCCACACCCAUGGAAUUCAUCAGGUCGCUGAAAGAUUCACCGAAGCGGAGAAUGGAAAGGAUACUUGUUGAGGGUACUACUAUUUGGCCAAGAUGGUACUACGGUGGAGAAUUGGGGAGAAGAGGGUAACUGAAGAUCCAUUUUGUCAUCUUACUGGUACAAAAUGAUGUUGGUUGCGUUUUAUUUAUGCUGUUCAGGUCAAAUGUUUCAGUGGUUGUUCCCAAUAUUAAAAGCAUAUUCUCUUCUAUUAUUGAUGUUUCAAGUUCUAUAUAGAAGUGUUUUUUUUAUCAGGCAGCUAGAUUGUUCCUUGUUAAGGAGCAAGCCUAUAGAUCUUUUCACCACAUAUUCUGUCUAAUAUUGAAGUUUAAGGCUGAUUAUCUAAAUGUUAAAUUGUAGAUUGAUUAUAGGUUUUCAGAUUAGUUAUGUUUCCCCAAUAUUGUGUCUGGUUGAUCUUAAUGCCACUCCCCUCUUACCAUCAAUAGUAGUACCACUAUUCAAACAAAUGCUGCCACCUAUUUUUUUGUAGUUGAAAACAGAUGUUUGUUAUAAUCCUCUAAGUACUGUCAAUAUAUUCUUGACAGUUGUUUGCAAUAGUCAAUUUAUUAUACUGAGUCUAUGUAGACAUUUAUUUGCAGCUGUCGUUAUUAUCAACCGCAGAAAGUUGAGUUUUACCAUUCUUGACAUUGGUGUGCCGAUUGUGCAGCAUGCUGGUUGCAGCGGUCGUGGUGUGCCGCCCGCGUGCGGGCUAUGGAAGCCGUUUCGUCUGCUGGGCUAGAGCCGUGUGGCCGCCCCGCGCUCUGUCGCUUGCAGCGCUGGUUGGCAUUACCCUUCUGUAGUACUACGAACCAGUCAAUUUAGUUAUCGUUGAAUCGAUCGUACAUACUUAUUUGCAGUGUCGUUAUCAUCCGCCAAAGAAAGUUAAGCUUUACCAUUCUUGCCA